GCCUUGGUAGUGCAGCUGGUUAGCACGCGCCCCCGAUAAGGGUAAAAUACGGGUCGAUUCCCGUCUGAAGUA